CCUACGGGAGGCAGCAGUGAGGAAUAUUGGUCAAUGGACGCAAGUCUGAACCAGCCAUGCCGCGUGCAGGAAGACGGCUCUAUGAGUUGUAAACUGCUUUUGUACGAGGGUAAACGCAGAUACGCGUAUCUGUCUGAAAGUAUCGUACGAAUAAGGAUCGGCUAACUCCGUGCCAGCAGCCGCGGUAAUACGGAGGGUUCAAGCGUUGUCCGGAUUUACUGGGUGUAAAGGGUGCGUAGGCGGGUGUACAAGUUAGAGGUGAAAUACAGUGGCUUAACCCAGGAAGUGCCUUUGAAACUGUAGAGCUUGAGUGGAGUAGAGGUAGGCGGAAUGCGUGGUGUAGCGGUGAAAUGCGUAGAGAUCAGGAAGAACACCAGUUGCGAAGGCAGCUUACUGGGCUCUAACUGACGCUGAGGCACGAAAGCGUGGGUAGCAAACAGGAUUAGAUACCCCGGUAGUC
rnacentral:rRNA from 1 species